AAAUGUAAAUCAAAGUCAGUAAAUCAAAUCAAAUAAUAUGCAGCUGAAAGAUACUAAUAUUGUUAUGAAUAAAAACUGUAUAAUGACUGCUCUCCAUCAGUUUUUAUGAUGUUUUAAUGUCUUAUUUGAUCUGAACGAUCAUUCUACAUAUUUUGUUUUUAAUAGUAUUAUCAAACAAUGAAAUUGCAUCCUAUCCAGCAUCUACAUGAUGCGGAUUGAGUACGAUAUAGAACCUUUAUGAAUUACCUGUACUGAAAUCCCGUAAAGGUAUGUUGUAUCAUUAUAUUUCGGGCCUCUAACUGACAACUCUAAUGGGACAGAUUGCUAAGUGUGGUCCCUCAUGAGGCAACCAGAUGGAUCUAUGUUACAACACUCCGAAAAGGACCUAUUCAAAAGCGUUUUGUCCAACAUUGAUUCUUUAAGCUUUUGGUAUUGCUCAUCCCAUAUGGUUUUCUUACACUGUUCACGUGGGUCUUACGAGGAUUCGUUUAUUUAAAGGCCCCGCUCGACUGUUAAGAAUUAUAUGAUUAUACAAUACAAAAUAUUUAUUUUUAAGCAAGAACUUUGAGUUAAAAUCAACAGAAACUAAUUUAAGCAUGUAAACAUUGUUGAGAGACUGUUUAAAGUAAAUAAAAACGGGACAUACACGUACUGAAUAAUUGGAGAAGAUGACUUCGACAAUCGAUUUUUCAAACUUAUUAUAAAUAUAUUUGGUAUCAUAUUUCUAAUAAGAAUGAAACAAUGUGAUUAGGUAUUAAAUAUUUUCACUGUAAACGAAAACAGGUCUAUAAUUAAAUAUGUGAAAUAGUUAACCUUCAUGUUCGGCUAUGUUCGCUUACUGUCGUACACAGAUGAGAAUUUUCCCGAAAACUAAUGCGAAACUCUCGACGAAUUAAGUAAUUCAUAAACGUGAUCAAUUUACGAAUAUUACAUCCGAUCAAUUACACAGGUAAUGAGUAGAUGUUAUAUAUGUAAGUGUUGGAUUAUAAAACUUAAUAUUUAAACGCAGAUGUGCCAGGCUUCUAUAUAAUACUUUAAUACUAAAACCCUGAUCAAUAUAUUUUAUUUUAAAACAAGAAUAAUGUAGACAAUCAUGUUAAAAAAAUAAAGAACAACAUUAGAGUAUCAAGAAAUUAAUAAUAAUAGUUUAAUAAUAAAUAGUUGUGCAAAGUAUAAAUUCUAGUUAUAUAAAAUAAUAACAAAACUACACAAAAUGUUAAUGUAUGUACAACUUUUAAUAUAAAAAAGGAUGGUUUUUACAAAAAAUGGAACCGUAUUAUAAUUUAAAAAAAUGAAUAAUAUGAUAGUCAAUAAACCCAGUCAAUAAUUUGAUUAAAACAACUGUUAUAUGUGACCCUUUAAUCUUAUGUCUUUUUAGCCAGUCUUUAUCCAAGUUCUUCCUCAAACUUAACUAAUAUUUAUUGUAAAAAUGUGAUGUAUACCGCUUCACUUUCGGGUUUAAUAGAUCUGUAACCAUAGCCUUCGUAUACAACCAUUUAACAAAAGACAUAUCAUACUUUUGCGUAUGAAUGAAAGAUGACUCUCAAUAGAUGUAAAGUUUUUAGUCAAUACGCUUUUUUUCUGUAUACAUUUUGGUAUCUUUAGUUUCAUCAGUGCAGGCAAAGUGCGUUUAAACAUCAAGUUUUAUAAUCCAACACUUACGGAUAUAACCCGUGCUUAUUACCUGUAUAAUUAAUGGGGUGUUACAUUCGUCAAUUGUUCAAGUUUAUCAAAACCAGUUUAUUCCUCGAAAUUUUCGCAUGAGUUGUUGAGUAAAUUCUUUUUGUUGUUCGACAGUAAGCGAAUAUGGCCGAAAAGCUACCCGAGGUUCUCGAUUUCAUUAUCGGGGGAAAGCAUAUAACAACACUUCGCUCAACGUUAACCAGAUACCCAGACAGCAUGUUGGCGGCCAUGUUUAGCGAGCGUCACCUCAUCAACAAAGACAAAGAUGGCCGCUACGUGACAUACACUAUAUCUAAACAUAUCAUACGUUUUGUGCCCUAUAAAGUGAAGAAAGACUUAAUACCCCCCCCCCCCCCAACACACACACACACACACGAACACUUUGUUGGAUUCUUAAAUCCUAUGUUCUUCCUUUUAAUGCAUGAUUCAUUUUCCUUAUUAUGUAUAUAUGUUUGCACUAUCAUUUCCUUAUGCAUGUAUUUAAUGAUGUAUCAGAUGAACUAAUUGAAUCUUUACGGAAAUAUUUAUAUACAUUUCCUAUUCAUUUGUUCAGCAAUUGUGUUUGUGUGAUUUGAUAGAAUAAAAGAUGUGCUAUAAACAA